GUGGGGAAUAUUGGACAAUGGGCGAAAGCCUGAUCCAGCCAUGCCGCGUGUGUGAAGAAGGUCUUCGGAUUGUAAAGCACUUUAAGUUGGGAGGAAGGGCAGUAAGUUAAUACCUUGCUGUUUUGGCGUUACCGACAGAAUAAGCACCGGCUAACUUCGUGCCAGCAGCCGCGGUAAUACGAAGGGUGCAAGCGUUAAUCGGAAUUACUGGGCGUAAAGCGCGCGUAGGUGGUUUUGUAAGUUGGAGGUGAAAUCCCCGGGCUCAACCUGGGAACUGCCUCCAAAACUGCAUGACUAGAGUACGGUAGAGGGUAGUGGAAUUUCCUGUGUAGCGGUGAAAUGCGUAGAUAUAGGAAGGAACACCAGUGGCGAAGGCGACUACCUGGACUGAUACUGACACUGAGGUGCGAAAGCGUGGGGAGCAAACAGGAUUAGAUACCCGUGUAGUCC
rnacentral:rRNA from 1 species